GAAACAUCUAAGUACCCGGAGGAAGAGAAAGAAAUUCGAUUCCGUAAGUAGCGGCGAGCGAAAGCGGAACAGGCCAAACCAAUGAAGUUUACUUCGUUGGGGUUGCGGACAUGUCAUUAAUGAAGAGGUCAUCGUAGAUGAAGAGAGUUGGAAAGCUCCGCUAUAAAGUGUAAUAGCCACGUAGUUGAAACGAUAAUUCUUUAGAUAUGAUCCAGAGUACCACGGGACACGUGAAACCCUGUGGGAAGCAGGAGGGACCAUCCUCCAAGCCUAAAUACUACCUAGUGACCGAUAGCGCAUAGUACCGUGAGGGAAAGGUGAAAA
rnacentral:rRNA from 1 species